rnacentral:rRNA from 1 species
CCUACGGGAGGCAGCAGUGAGGAAUAUUGGUCAAUGGGCGCGAGCCUGAACCAGCCAAGUCGCGUGAGGGAAGACGGUCCUAUGGAUUGUAGACCUCUUUUGUCGGGGAGCAAAAGACGCCACGCGUGGCGUUCCGAGAGUACCCGAAGAAAAAGCAUCGGCUAACUCCGUGCCAGCAGCCGCGGUAAUACGGAGGAUGCGAGCGUUCUCCGGAUUAAUUGGGUUAAAGGGGUGCGCAGGCGGAAGCUCAAGUCAGCGGUAAAGUUGAGGGGCUCAACCUCUUCGAGCCGUUGAAACUGGGUGUCUUGAGUGAGUGAGAAGUAUGCGGAAUGCGUGGUGUAGCGGUGAAAUGCAUAGAUAUCACGCAGAACUCCGAUUGCGAAGGCAGCAUACCGGCGCUCAACUGACGCUCAUGCACGAAAGUGUGGGUAUCGAACAGGAUUAGAUACCCGGGUAGUC